rnacentral:lncRNA from 1 species
AAAUUUAUUUGUACACUCUAACAUAUUUUUGAAGUGUCAAGAAGAAACUCUUUACUCAUGACAAUUUUCUCUGCUAAACUCUUUUUCCAUGUGCACACUUAUAUAUACAAUUUGAUAUGAAGAGCACCUUCUACAUUACCUAUACUCCAACUUACCAAGAAGAGCUCUCGCUUCCUGCAAGGUUUUAAGAGUAACAUCAGGGCUAAACUCUAUGAUCUUAUUAAUUUCUCCCAAAAAACAGCUCCUCCAAUCCAGUGUCAAGAAUGAAUGCAUGAAAGAUCUUCAUAUACAAACAUCCAAGAUAUCAUUUGUAUCAAAUUUACACAGUAUAUAUUACGAAGCCCAUUUCUUGUAUUGACAUGUUUUUUCUAG